GGGGACACCGAGUGCAACUUUUGAAUCAAUGCAGAUCAUCCGAUGAUUGUUUCCCAGGCAGUUACAGCUUCACUGCAGGGGAUGGUAAAUUCUUUGAGAUGAAGCAGUUCUGCUGCAAGACUGAACUGUGUAACAAUGCAACUCUCAGCCGUAAGUUUCUGUAUAAUUUUAAAAUCCUCAACAUGUUAGGGCUUUGCAUUGGAUUUGGCCAAGGACUGGAUCCUUAGUCAACCAGCAGUACUCAGAGGACCUGGGCCUCAUUCAAAUGGGGUGAGUCAGCCCCAGAUGGCUAUAUGGGUUGAGCAGGUCAGCACUAUUAGGGCCUCUCAAGGCGUGGAGAGGCAGGCAGGACGAAGAAGCAGGCAUGAGGAGAAACUGUGAAGAAGAGGGACCUACUGGGCAGCUACAUCUCUGCCUGAGAAGGGAUGGGUUCCCUUUCCAACCAGGCCUUGCCUGAAUCUGUCCCAUUGUCAAUCCUAAACCCAGACUGGGUCUAGAUAAACUUUUCAUCCAAUAAUACUUGCAGGUGCCCCACCAAAACUGUAAAACCCUUGGGUGAAUUACAAUAAUAUAACAUACAGGUACAAAAACAGAUACAGUGGUACCUUGGGUUAAGUACUUAAUUCAUUCCGGAGUUCUGUUCUUAACCUGAAACUGUUCUUAACCUGAAGCACUACUUUAGCUAAUGGGGCCUCCAGCUGCCGCCGUGCCGCCGGAGCACGAUUUCUGUUCUCAUCCUGAAGCAAAGUUCUUAACCCAAGGUAAUAUUUCUGGGUUAGCGGAGUCUGUAACCUGAAGCGUAUGUAACCCGAGGUACCACUGUAAAACCAUUAACAUGCUCACUAUACUUUUGAUUUUGGCAGUUCCUGAUCGCAACGUGCUGGCUGAAAAUGGCCUGAAGUGCCCAGCCUGCUUCUCCAAAGGAACCACACACUGUAAAAGUGAGAAGACCAUCAACUGCCUUGAGAAUGAGACCCAGUGUGUUGUUUUUAAAGGAUCUCUUUUUAGAG